CAUAACCAGGUUUCAAGAACAAACACCUAUUUUAGUUGCUGCUCCUGGGGAACUCCAAGUCUCCACAAUAUCUCAAGUCGUGCAACCCUGGGCUCCUUCCUGCCCAGCCUCUCAUCACACCGAGCGAUCGACGUGGGCUCUGUAUAUCUGUUUGUCCAUCUGAUUGAAUGGUCCACAUGUAGCUAUGACAGUGGAGAUCAUUACACAACAUGAAAAAGAGGACGGACAUCUGGUAUACCCACCAGACCUGGCCACUCCACAAACUUCCCACUUCCAUCAACCCCACUCCCUCCCCAUUGCUUCCAGCGGUGAGAAGCCUGAAGCUGGUGAUCAUUCCUCAGCCUCUGGCACCUGCAGCUCCCACCAGCGUGCUUGGCUCCCCCACGUUACCCCGAGUCCAGGCAGCUUCCCUCUGCCCCUGCCGUCCCAGCAGCAGAAUCUCCUCUAGAGACAGUCUGCCCUUCUCUGUUUCACACAGGCCAAGACACUCCUCACGUGGCUCUCAGUUUUGGUCCUUCCAUGGGCUCUUACUUCUAGAAGUUCUCAACUGAGAUAUAAUCCACUUCCCAUUGCUGCUCUGCCCACGGAACUCUUGGAAACCGGCUUCCAGACUUGGCUCUGCUGGUACUAAUUCCCGAGUCCCACUGUCAUCAGCUCCCUGGUUUCAUCCCUCACUCUAUUCAUCUGCUUCACAGAAAGGGAUUUGAUGGAGAUGAUUCACAAGGACCAGAGUCAAGAUCACAUGGGCCCCUGAAGAGACGGACAGGAGCCUGCAGUGGUGCUCUGACUCUCAGGACCCCUUGCCGUGGGCUGAGCAGGGGCUGAGCUGGGUCCUGCCCUGGGCCCCGCCUGCCUCGCUGCAUCCACAGAACCAAUGGCCAGACGGCGUGGCUUUGGUCACUGCUGCUCUUACCACUGCUGCUCUCAGCCACCUGCCCGCCCCCAGAGGCCAGAGCAGCAAGAAGUGUGGUCGGGUCUUCUUGUGCCCCCUGAUUAGGAGAGAGAAGCGGGACUCUGAAGUAGAUGGUGUUGAUCCAGACUGACAUGUGCUGUGACACGAGUGGGGCCCCCACAGAGCCGAGGGCUGCAGGCGUCCCUCCGGGGACUGAUGGGCGUCCAUGGAGGAGGAAGCCCGGCAUCUCCACAGACCUUUCUCCCCUGGGUUCCGACCCACCACGCCCACAUGGUGGCGAGGCCUCUGGUGGGCCCAUCUCGCACUACGGCUGCAACCAGCCAUCGUUUGCUGUGUCGCCCACACCUGAGUGAGGGCUGCUGGGGGCCUGUGGCUGAUCCCAGACUCGAGGGUAAGGGUGUGUGUGUGAACUGGGCCAGCGAUGCAGAUGGCACAGGCGGAGAGCCCCUCUGAUUGGCCAGAGCGCCUGCACACCAUCACUGCAUGUAAUCCACUGCGGAGACUUGGUUUUGCCAUAUUCUGCAGAAAUAAGACAAAUAGAAGAAUAACCAGACUGUGAAGAAACAGGAAUGGAAUUCUGGUGAGAAAAUUGCUUGAUAAUGGCUAACACUAUAUCAUAGUGAGCAAACCUAAAUGUGUCCAGAUUAAUGUAUAUUCACACCAAACAAAUGUUAAUUAAACAAGCUACAGUGUAAUGCUCUGCUCGGGCUCUGAAGCUAUGUGUCCACCAAACCGAGGCAGCCAGAGGCCCAGAAAUGCCAGGCACCACUCUCUCUGUGUCGCCUACUUAUUGUUCAGCGAAGAUGCCCCCUCUGGCUUGCACAUGUCAUUGCUGGGAGAGCUGUCUGGCUAACUCAGUAUUUCCUACAGGUAUUGAUCACGCAUUAGUCAUUCCAAUAAAAGUCAGAAGAGCUGCCCACCGUGUGGGAGGGGUUUGAUUAGCCUCCUUUUGCAAAAGGGCCUCUCCCUCCUCUUUGAGUUGGAAGGGUGGAGAUGUCUUUUUGAAUUUUUACUAUGGACCAGCCAAAGCCUCUCGGACAACACACAGUAGCACUGAUUUCAAAGUAAGUCUGCAGGUGUUAAAGACCUACACUUAUCUCAUGAGAAAGUGUCCUGUAUUCAGAAAAGAAAAAGAGAUAGGGCGUUGCCUUGUCGGAGUUAAAAACGUGUCCCUCUGCCCGUGCCACGCCAUUUGACUGCGGUCAACAGGCGCUCCUCAGCCUUCUUCCCUUUUCCUAACAGAACAGAGGACCAGACAGAAGCCCUGCCUCUCCCUGGACCCAGAUGGGGGGAGGGGAAGGCCAGGGACUCCCAAUGGGCUCAGCUUUUCCAAUGAGAGUGUGUCCACCCAGGUCAUGAAGGGGUGGAGGUUUUCUCACUUCAGGAUGAUGAGCAUGAGAGGAAAGGCGACAGGACCAGGCCUGGAGGUGGGUCGGUCCAGCAGAGGGGCAGCGUCCCGCUCUGGUGUCGGGACCUGAGUUUACACUGUGGGUGUGGCCAGUUACCCACCCUCUCUGAGCCCCAUCUCCUUCAUCUGGAAAAGGGGGAGGAAAAUCGCGUAGGUUUGUCGCUUGUUAAGUGAGAAA